UUAAUUCUACGUUUAAUUCAGACACAGACAGAUAUAUUGCAUACCAUCGCGCCGAAGCACGGCUAUAUUCCACGGUUUUGAAGUUGAAGGCCGAAGCCAUUCGUUAAUGAUCCCUCCGCAGGUUCACAUACGGAGA
rnacentral:misc_RNA from 1 species